GGGCUAAUAUGGAAUAUUUUCGACGUAUGUGAGAUUUAAAACCGAUGUUACAGAGAUUACGGACAAUAACCUACUCCAGAGUUCAAAUACGAAUCUCUGGUACACAUUUCACAACAGACCACCAAUGAAGGUUAGCAAUAGUCCCAUCAUCCUCUAAGAAGAGAAACUGCUCAUCUGUGACACACUAUGGCAAAGACCGAGUUGGUUGAAGUGGAGAUUGAUGACAUGAGUGAUCCACAAACAUCCCGAAACAAUUAUGAUGAAGAAACUGAGGAAGAAACAGAUCGCAUGGAAGUGAAAGAGCAAAGACAAGAGCUAAGCGAGGAGGAGGAAGAGGAGGAGGAACAUCGCAACUUCAAAACUCGAAA